rnacentral:tRNA from 1 species
GCUGGCGUAGCUCAGUGGAAGAGCAGCUGAUUUGUAAUCAGCAGGUCGGGGGUUCAAAUCCCUUCGCCAGCUCCA